rnacentral:tRNA from 1 species
GCCUCCGUAGCUUAACUGGAUAGAGCGGCUGCCUUGUACGCAGAGCCAGAUAUCAGUUCAAGUCUGAUCGGAGGUA